UACGUAGGGUCCGAGCGUUGUCCGGAAUUAUUGGGCGUAAAGGGCGCGUAGGCGGCAUGGCAAGUGGAAGGUGAAAUCCCUCGGCUUAACCGAGGAACUGCCCUCCAAACUGCUUUGCUUGAGGCCGGGAGAGGUGAGUGGAAUUCCCAGUGUAGCAGUGAAAUGCGUAGAUAUUGGGAGGAACACCAGUGGCGAAGGCGGCUCACUGGACCGGUUCUGACGCUGAGGCGCGAAAGCGUGGGGAGCAAACGGG
rnacentral:rRNA from 1 species